ACCUUACCAUAACAAAAAGUUCCUUCUCUCUUUCACCCUCACUUUUUUUUUCUGUCCUUCCCUUUCCCUCUCCUUUCACCCUCUUCAAAUAGUGUUGAGAGGAAAAAGGGUCUCAAAGAUGGAACCAAAAGACGGGUUUGUUGUCGAAGGUCCCUAUAAGGGUUUUCUCAUCAUGCACGUGACUAACAGCAAGGUAGCCAUGGUCAACCCUCCGAGAAUUGGGAGAUGUGACCAAAAAGAAGCCAUUAGUGGCUCUGAAAUUGGAGCUGACAAUUCUCCUGAAUUGGUGGCAGCAGCAGCAGGAGCUUCAUUCUAAUCUGGUGCUAUCCUAUCUGAGCUUUUACUACCUUCUUUCAUCUUCCUUCAUCAUCUAUUUUCCAUCACACUUUUUUGUUUUUUUAGGACUCUUCUUGACCUUGUAAGGCCUUUUCUUGACCUUGUAAGACCUCACACCCUAUCUAUUUUCUUUGUUUUUGCUUAUAUGGAAAACCCUAUAUCACAAACCACUGAUAUAGAGUUUGAUUUCCUUCUUUCCCCGUUGCCACCCAAUUCAUCUUCUCCUUCCUUCUCUAUCCCUCCUGAGCUGUUACAUUUUUUGCCUACCAAGAUGCAACAACAAAUAUCAUGCCAUGGCUUCAAAGAACCUCGCUCAAUGGGGGUUCUUCAAAUCUGCUAGCUAUUCGGAGACCAUGGCUUCCAGAAGUACAAUCUGGGUAUAUUGUUCUUUUACCUGUGAGAAAUCAAUGUAGCUUGUAGUUUGUGCAGUUGCUAGCAUACUUGGUCGUGGUCCCUCUUGUUGAUUUGAUUUCUUCUUUUAUGCAAAGCAAGUAAGAUAAAUGUCAUGAGUAAGCUCAAUUUGGCACUA